AAGGGGAGCAAUCCCUGAGUAAAGUGGCGACCGGGUGAGUAACACGUGACUAACCUACCCUCGAGUGUGGAAUAACAUCGGGAAACCGAUGCUAAUACCGCAUAACAUCGCAAGAUCAAAGGAGCAAUCCGCUUGAGGAGGGGGUCGCGGCUGAUUAGCUAGUUGGCGGGGUAACGGCCCACCAAGGCGAAGAUCGGUAGCCGGCCUGAGAGGGCGCACGGACACACUGGAACUGAAACACGGUCCAGACUCCUACGGGAGGCAGCAGUGGGGAAUUUUGCGCAAUGGGGGAAACCCUGACGCAGCAACGCCGCGUGGAGGAUGAAGCCCCUUGGG
rnacentral:rRNA from 1 species